rnacentral:rRNA from 1 species
UGCCAGCCGCCGCGGUAAUACGGAGAGUGCAAGCGUUAUCCGGAAUCACUGGGUUUAAAGGGUGCGUAGGCGGCGCUAUAAGUCAGAGGUGAAAUCUUGCAGCUUAACUGUAAAAUUGCCUUUGAAACUGUAGUGCUUGAAUCACGUUGAGGUCAGCGGAAUGUGACAUGUAGCGGUGAAAUGCUUAGAUAUGACACAGAACGCCAAUUGCGAAGGCAGCUUACUAAGCUACGAUUGACGCUGAGGCACGAAAGCGUGGGGAGCGAACAGGAUUAGAUA